rnacentral:tRNA from 1 species
UCCCUGGUAGUUUAGCUGGUGAAGAAUCUGCCUGCAAUGCAGAAGACCCAGGUUCAAUCCCUGAGUGGGGAA